rnacentral:rRNA from 1 species
ACGGAGGGUGCUAGCGUUGUUCGGAAUUACUGGGCGUAAAGGGCGCGUAGGCGGCCUGAUCAGUCGGGUGUGAAAGCCCGGGGCUCAACCCCGGAACGGCACCCGAGACGGUCAGGCUGGAGACCGGGAGAGGAGGGUGGAAUAGCCAGUGUAGAGGUGAAAUUCGUAGAUAUUGGCUGGAACACCGGUGGCGAAAGCGGCUCUCUGGCCCGGUUCUGACGCUGAGGCGCGAAAGCGUGGGGAGCAAACAGGA